GGCCCUACGGGGCGCAGCAGGCGCGAAACCUUACACUGCACGACAGUGCGAUAAGGGGACCCGAGUGCGAGGGCAUACAGUCCUCGCUUUCUGGACGGUAAGGACGUUCAGGAACAAGUGCUGGGCAAGACCGGUGCCAGCCGCCGCGGUAAUACCGGCAGCACGAGUGAUGGCCGAUCUUAUUGGGCCUAAAGCGUCCGUAGCCGGCCGAGCAAGUUCGUCGGGAAAUCCACCAGCUCAACUGGUGGGCGUCCGGCGAAAACUGUUCGGCUUGGGGCCGGAAGACCCAAGGGGUACGUCCGGGGUAGGAGUGAAAUCCCGUAAUCCCGGACGGACCGCCGAUGGCGAAAGCACCUUGGGAAGACGGACCCGACGGUGAGGGACGAAAGCUGGGGUCUCGAACCGGAUUAGAUACCCGGGUAGUCCCAGCCGUAAACGAUGCCUGCUAGGUGUGGCACUGGCUACGAGCCAGUGCUGUGCCGUAGGGAAGCCGUGAAGCAGGCCGCCUGGGAAGUACGUCUGCAAGGAUGAAACUUAAAGGAAUUGGCGGGGGAGCACUACAACCGGAGGAGCCUGCGGUUUAAUUGGACUCAACGCCGGACAUCUCACCAGCUCCGACAGUGGGAAUGAAGACCAGUGUGAUGAGCUUGUCAGACCCACUGAGAGGAGGUGCAUGGCCGCCGUCAGCUCGUACCGUGAGGCGUCCUGUUAAGUCAGGCAACGAGCGAGACCCGCGUCCCUAAUUGCCAGCAGUACCCGUGUGGUAGCUGGGUACAUUAGGGAGACUGCCGCCGCUAAGGCGGAGGAAGGAACGGGCAACGGUAGGUCAGUAUGCCCCGAAUGAGCUGGGCUACACGCGGGCUACAAUGGCCGGGACAGUGGGUUCCGACACCGAGAGGUGGAGGUAAUCUCUCAAACCCGGUCGUAGUUCGGAUUGCGGGCUGAAACCCGCCCGCAUGAAGCUGGAUUCGGUAGUAAUCGCGUGUCAGAAGCGCGCGGUGAACACGUCCCUGCUCCUUGCACACACCGCCCGUCAAAGCACCCGAGUGAGGUCCGGAUGAGAUCGCCUCGCGGCGACCGAAU
rnacentral:rRNA from 1 species